CUGGGAGUGGUUUUCUACCGUGGCAGUGGUCACACAGGUGGCGACGUGGUCGAUCGCCUUGACCUCUUCAUCACACGGAGGAGUGUAAAACCUUUCCCGUUCUUCUUGUGCGAAAACAUACUCGAAGCCCCAUUCACUCGUAACGAUGAAGAUGCACUCGCAGGGUUUGAUGAGCUCUUUUUGGCAGCCAUCAACUUUUUUAGGAUGACAAGCUGUCUCAAAAUGAACAAAACUUGCGCAUCAUUGACGACGGUUUCAUAGUCGAUGUCAUCUUGAAGAAGGGCUUCCAACUCUUUGACCACGUCCAGCUUGCCCAUGACUUGGGCCAAGUGCAAUGCCUCUUCCAGCAGGGCCUCAUUGAAAUCACGGUCACAAGUGACCCAUCGCCUAAGACGACCUCGUAGGAAGUCACAGCCUCCUGAUACAAUCCCACCUUAUGGGAAUAAGUGGUCAUUCCCACGCCUAACGCCAAGCCACCUAGUGUCGCGUCCGCAAUUUCUAAACAAACGGCCAAAGUGUAGCCUCUGGGGAUCAGAAACUUUGUAAUUUCGCCCACGGUCACCAUCGGCUCCACUUUUACGUUACAGUUAGAUUGUAUUACGGAUUGGGGUUUGUACCUUUUUGAAAAAAGUCACAGAUAAACUUUGCCAAUUUGGACGAGAUGUGCAGAGAAGUUUCUUUUUUGCUGGUUCGACAUCUUUCCACCGGAGCAC